rnacentral:lncRNA from 1 species
CGAAUGAGAAGGAGAAGAUUGACAACGAAGAUUAAAAAUAAUCGAGCAGCAUCAACCCAAAUUUAUGUAAUGGAUUGAGAACGACCUGGGAUGGCCGGAGACGAGGGAGGCUUUUGCAGCGAUAGUGUUAACGCGUACGUUUUCCUAGAGUCGUUCUUCGUUCUAAUUACAGGGUUUUUCCUAGUAUUGUUUUUCUAAUCGUAGGGUUUUCUAAUAGGAGGGAAUGUAAUUUUUUGUCCCAAAAAAUUUGGAGGGAAGAUUUAUUUCCUUUGUAUAGAGGAAUAGUU